rnacentral:sRNA from 1 species
UAUUGUUAUAUGUGUGCUGCUAAGGUGGU